rnacentral:lncRNA from 1 species
CAAGGUCUCACUGAGUUGCUUAGAGUCUCCCUAAGUUGUUGAGGCUGGCUUUGAACUCCUGAUCCUCCUGUCUCAGCCUCCAGAGACACUGGGAUUACAGGCAUGUGCCAGUGCCCAGCUUAAUUCUUAAUCAUUUUUUAAAGAGAUAGGGAUAACUCUUUAAAAUAUUUAUUUUGGAGGUGGGGAGGAUUUCUGUGCUCAAUUCUGAGCACCAAAUAGAUACAUAAAAUAUUCAUAAUAAAAAAAAAACUUAUUUGACAGGAAAGCAGAGAAUCAGCACAUGGAGCUAUAUGGUAAUAAGAAAAAAUUUUUCCUUUCCUCCCAGUGUCUUUCCUGGGCACAGAUGUCCUAGGGAACUCCCUUGGGUUGAGGUUCCUGUUGGAAAGUUUCCUGGCCGAUCUGGCCUUCUGACCCAGUCCCAGGACAGGACUGCCUCUCCCUGAGCUGGUCAACUUAAAUAGAUUUAUUUACUUGCUUUGUAGUAUUUCAAUAAAUGGAAAAAUGUAUUUAAUUAAUAGAAUCUGAACAACAAUAUGAAAUAUUUCC